CUUUUACAGGCAAUGACUGCACAGCCUGCAAGAGGCCUGUUUUGGACAUUAGUUGUUAAUGGGCAGAGCCUCAGGAAUACACUUCUGGAGAAAGUCCACUGUCAUAGAAAUGAAAAACUGGCUCCUCCAGAUCACCUUUCAGGUUGAUGUGGCUCCAGACCGAAGCUCCUGGAGAGAGUGGCUCGCCUCAAAGGACCGGAAGAGAUUUUCUUGUUUAGGGAGGCAGAGGGACAGGGCGGGUUAUACCACCCACCCUUGUUUUGCAGAGCCAUCAUUUCAAAUCACUACUGUGUAUAGAAAGAUGCAGUUCAACAUACAUUGUUGAUACAAUAUAAUAAAUGAAAAAGGAAAUCAAUCACGCCUAAAAUAAGAGCAAAUAAUCAUCUUAAAAUGGACUUUUCAUUUCGUCAUUACCAACAGAGUAAAGAGAGCUUUCUUACAGACUUGCCUGAAGAAACUUUGACGAAAAAUGGAAGUCCAACUUUCUAAAAGAGUCAUAAAGUGUAAUGUUGAAAGCAGAGAAAUGAACUUGUUUGCUGAAGUGAUAAUUCCCUUUUUCAAAGUUCUAUAAAAUUAUUUCUUGUUCAAAUACAGUAAAUAAUCAUUUUUAUUCCUCCAUAUUAUCUCACUUUCUACAUAAUGCAAAGCCCUGGACCUUUUGUUAAAAAAAAAAAAAAGUUAUUUUAGAGUUUAUAAAGACCUUGCUCCAAGUAGAGACUUACUUAGUCCUCACUAUUGUAUGAAGUUCAUAAGCCAGAAAAUUGUGUGAACCCAUUUUAUAAAAGAAGAGACAUAUGAUCUUAUCAUUUAAUAGGACUCUAAUUUCUAAUUAAUCAAAUAUUACCAAUUAAAUAAUAGGUCUGAAUUCAUGAUAGACAUGAAAUGGUUUUAUUUUCUGUAAAGACCGCCCUGCUUCCCCCCCACCAGGCAGCAAAAAUAGCUUUCAUAUCAGGUCUAGUAUUAAGAACUAAUUUGGGCCAGGCAGGAUGGCUCAAGCCUGUAAUCCCAGCACUUUGAGAGGCCAAGGCAGGCAGAUCACCUGAGGUCAGGUGUUUGAGACCAGCCUGGCCAACAUAGGGAAACUCCAUCUUUACUAAAAGUACAAAAAUUAGCCAGGCGUGGUGGAGGGCGCCAGUAAUCCCAGC
rnacentral:lncRNA from 10 species